UUCCCCCGCCGCGCGCGACGUGCCUGACUCCUUUCGCCCAGACGCCCAGCCCCACAGCCGCCGCAGCACUCCGCCCCCAUCCUCCUGUCCUCCACCAUGAGCGCCUCCUCCUCCGCCUCCCCGCCGCGGCCUCUUCCUUCCUUGGCCGGCAGCCACUGCAUCUCCUCACCGUGGGGAGUGACAGUAGCGGCAGGGAGCCUCCCAUCCCCUCGAGCCGCCGGUGCCGGAUCCCGCUUCCGCCGUCCCCUUCGCGCAGUCCUCCGCGCCCGCCGGCCAACUACAUGUGCAUCACCCUGGGAGUGGAUUUCCAUCACUGGAUUCUUGGAUAAAACGAGGAGAUGCAAGAUAGUCCACAACCGCAUGGGCCAAACCUACAGGCUAUAGCUGGAUUGGCCUUGUUAAGUGAUAAUAUAUUAAGAUCUGGAACAUUGUAGAGCAACGAGUGACAAAAGUAUUAGAUGAGAUCUGGAACAAUGCAGCUAACUCUUGGUUGACUGGACUUAUGAGGCGCAAGAUGAGUUCGUCCUAUGCUAGAAGGUGUGUGGGAUAUAGGAGAUACAAGGAGAGAUAUUUCAGUUGCAAUCCAGCUUUAUUUCAUUGUGAAACAUGAGAGAGCUACAUGGAGGUUUCACUGAGGGAGAUGGGGUUGAUGGAGAAGAAGAGGAAACAGAGGCGGGUGUUCUUGCGGCGCUCGGCUGGUUCCAAGACCGUGAGGGGAAGGACUUCAUGCUGCCCUCUGGAGGGGAAAGAGCAGAGGAUUCGGGAGAAGAAGCAACCAGAGGAGCCGGAGAACACGGCCCCUGUCCUGUAUAUCAGCCACAUCCCCCAUGCUUCUAUGAGUACCAGAUGCAAGGUUUCUCAGUAGCUUGGGGCUAUUAAGAAGAUGGUCAGUUGGUCAGUAUUGCCCGGAACUGCAAGAUAUCCUAUACUGCAUUAUUACAAGAUAUCUGGCGAUUUGUGUGUGUUUUCUGCAAGCCUCUAACUUGCUGUUUGGUCAUAUAUAUGUAGACAUGAAAAUCUAAGCAUUCAGAUAGUUAUAAGUACAUAUAUUUCAGUUGCAACUAAACUGUACAUGACGAUGAAUGAAUAUUAACUAAGUCAUUCACACAAAUAAAAAAGUAUCACGGCAAGAGUGAAUAUCCAAUUAAAAGUUCAUGAAGUCAGACAGAUAAAAAAGCUGAUUCUUAAACACGAACAAAUAGAUAGAAUCUCGCACAAUUGCGACACCUUCGCCUUAUUGUUGUUACCUUUUCUGCUUCCCUUCUCUUUAUUCCCCUUAGUUCUGUUUAUCCUACCCCUAGAUCAAAUAUCAUUUGGCGGGUGGAUGUUAACUUCAUUAGUAAUGGUGCAACCAAUAAAUUCUUCAAACUCUUGUGGUACAGUUUAUUGUUUUGCUGGGACAUUCAGUUCGUUGCUUUCCAUCUCUAGAGAGCACGCCUCAUUCUGAUUGUUUAGUUUGAAUUAGCACAUUGAGGACAAAACAUCUCGUUUGUUUUCCAUCUACUGCAGAACCUACUGGACAGAACAAAGUCGAGGGAAGAAGUAUGCGAGUCAAGUAUCUGUGAUGACCAACUGAUGAAAAUCACAUUUGAGUGGCCCAGUCGUUUGAUCUGCUCCAACACUACCGUUCCGGCUUUCAGAUUGAGUAACCUGUACCCACGUCUACUGCAAACCUACUAGACAGAAUAAAAUCGAGGGAAUAAGUAUAUAAACUCGUUAGUUAAUCAAGAUGAAUAGAUUUGCCUAUCCGCAGACAGCUCCGAAUCAGUUUUUACCCUUUCUUUUCUAGAAAGAUAAGAACAAUACCCAGUACGAUCCUCUUCUUCUGUACCAGCUUCACUGAGGCAGGGGCGGAGCCAGGAUUUGAACAUAGGGGGGGCCAAGCUAAGUUGACAAGAAAAAUAUCUAGUGCAGAAAAAAAACCCGUAUAGGUGGUGCUUUGGUGCUAUAAAAAGAUCAUUACAUUUGAAUUAGUUUAAAUUUGCCUCCAUGAUUGCUAGUAAAAAAUCUUAAUAUUAAUAAUUUCAUCAGAAGGGGUCUUGGCUGCAAAUUAUAUUAUUAUUUUUAUGAGAAGGGGUUUCCCUCCGCCACAUUUUAUAAGAGAAAUGAGGCAUCUACUAAUUAUUUAUCAAUGUAGAUUAUCAUGCCAUGACAAAGCAAGCCGUCUCACAUUUUACUUCUAAGACGGGUGUUCACAGUUUUAGUAGUAAAAAAAACACUUGCCGUUGAAAUUGGGAGAGUUAUAACUAGAUGCAGCAACAUGCUUCGAAAUGAAUUAAUCUUGAUGCUUGAUGGUGUUUUUCUCUUCAUAGCCGUUGAACUGAAGUUUCAGAAUUUGUUGUACUGUAUAAGUUCGUCAUAUGAAAUAUUUGCACCACAUAUAGGAACUAGUAUACGAUAAUUUGCAUCACGAUGAUUUCUUGAACAAGUAAAAUAUAAAAAAUCUCACGGCAUCACUGAUCACCCAAAGAGAAUAAAUGAAAUCUAUAAAUUACACACAUACAAAAAAAGAAUUGAGAAUGAUUAGAAUAUACUGUAGGAUCUUAACCUUGGCAAGUUUAGUACGAUUGGCUCGAGCCUAAUGAAUCGACAAGUGAAGCAACUGCGUCGCCGUUUGAAUCCAAUCUGAUCCUAAGUUGAGCAGGGAGGGCCAGGGGCACGCAGGCGGCAGGGGAGCGGAUGGCAGCGGUGCAAGGGCUAAUCCCACGCACACGCUAAUCACGGGAGAGCGCCACGACCUACGAAACUACGGACGUGGCCAUCUGGCCAUUAAUGGGCUUUCUCAUGGGCUCUUUGCCGUUUUCCAGAAUUUACCUUGAGGUGAUAGGAGGGGCCAGGUACAAGUGUUCACUGUUGUUAUCGCUAAUUACCUCGUGGUGGCUGGUGACUGCUUGCUCGAUCGUUAGGGGGGGCCAGGCCCCUGCUCGCCCCCCCUUGGCUCCGCCACUGCACUGAGGAGCCAAUUAGUACAAAAAUGUCUUUUGAAUUUCAUAGUUUUGGUCAUGAUGCCAUCAUACCGCAUGCAUGGUGCUUAUGCAACUAUAAGUCUAUAACUACAGAAAUGUACCUUUCUUUGCCUACAGCUAAAUAUGACCCGUCUUAGAUGGUUUGGAAGAACUAAUAUAUGUACUCUCCCUUUUGCCUACUUUUGGGUAUGAAUAGUUCAACUGAUUUUUGGUGAUUCAGAUUAUAGUAUCCAGCUUUCCUGGCUCUAUUUUGUGCAUCUAAAUUUUUUGUGUGCAAAUAUGUUCCUGAAAAGACAUGAGUUGUAUAGUUCAGCAUCCUGCUUUGUGGUAGGUUGAUAAUAUUCCAUUUUUAUGAUUACCCUGCUUUAGAUUAUUCUUGUGUGCCUUGUGCAGCCUUUCCAUUCUAGGCAUCAUUUCUCAAUUGUUUGGGGUCCAAUUCUACAAAUGCUUGGAUGUGUUGGUUCGGCCUUCUGUUAAUCUCCAGAUGAUAGGUCAGGCAGGCAAGUUAAUUCUCUAGUUUCUCAUGAUACUUCUAAAAUCUAUUGCAUAGUAGGAUACGUGCCUGAAAUGUGUGCACACUUACAAUUUCGGUUGUUGUGGAGUUAAAUUAUAAAUCGAUUUGAUACGAUAGAUAUGUAUAGAAAAAGCUUUCAACCAAGCAGACUAUUCUUUUAGUAUAUAAAUAGUAUGGCUAUAUACACUGAGUGCAAAAGCUAUUUGUUCGCCACUUAAGCUUAUAUAUUUUCUUUAGCUAUCGUCCUUUGACAUUUUCUUUAUGCAAUGGUUGGUUGAUCAAGCCGAGGACUUCCCUGCGGUGCUUGGUUGGACCAUGUUUCAUUCAGCUAAUAAAAUAGUAUAUAUGUGUGUGUGAUUGGUUCAUCAAUUUUCAGAAACAUUUGUUGCCCAGUAGCUUCCAAAUAGCAGUUUUGCUUUCUUUGUUGCACCUAUAUACUUGCACCUUACAACAACCAUCAUGUUCGCAAAUCGUCUCUAUUAAUGUCCUUUCUUUACUCAUUUAGGACUUAUGAGUUGAUUAAUAUGUCACUCUCAAUAAAGUGUUUUCUUUAAAUGAGGAAUGACAUAUAUAAUUGGUUCUAUUAUAAUAGCUAGCAUUCAUCUUUUCCAAAUAAAUUGUACUGCCUUUUGCUUUAUCUCUUGGUAUAUUUUUCAUUGCUAACAAUUGAUCUGUAGAGAUGCUAUUCUGUCAAGAUUUUCUGCUAUCAAAUAAUUCAUGGCCAGCUACAAUGUUUACCCUUUUAUGUAACUAUUGAGACCCUCUCAGCUGUGCCAUGUAAUCUCAGCUCUCAGGUGCUAGAUUAUGAAUAACUAAGCCUUUCAAGGAUGUUGCUUGAAGAUGGAGGGAUCUUUCCCUACAAGUUUGUUCUUUUUGUUGUUACAGCAAAGACUACUUCCUGGGUUGUCGAGGAUGCUAGGUCAAGAAUGCAGGGUGGGCGAAAGAAAAUUGUGAAUGCUUUUAUCUCCGUGGUCAUUUGGAGCAUAUGGAGGGACAAGAUAGCGGGCUUUAAUAGUGUCUUCGCGCUGCUCCAGAGAGUCAUCGAUCCUGAUACUAGGCAGUAGGCUGGUGUGAGCUUGGGUCAUUUGAUCAUCCCCGAUUGUGUAAAGACUCCUCUGGAAUAUAUGCAAUCCUAUUGCAUGGUUUAAAAAAGAAUGAUUCUGAAACGGGUGUAAAGCAGUGUACGUGCUUGGCCACAGCUAAACCUACUAAUAUAUGGAAUUUUUUUCAAAGCACACAUGGUGUUAGUGGGUCUCUGCUCCAGUUGGCGCAACGGGUGGUAUCAUGCCCAUGCCUAUAUGACACGAUAUACUUCUUUGUAAUGUAAUCAGUUGUGCAUGUCAAUGGAAGUGGUUUAAAGCA